rnacentral:rRNA from 1 species
GUGGGGAAUAUUGGACAAUGGGGGGAACCCUGAUCCAGCCAUGCCGCGUGUGUGAAGAAGGCCUUUUGGUUGUAAAGCACUUUAAGCGAGGAGGAGGCUUACCUGGUUAAUACCUGGGAUAAGUGGACGUUACUCGCAGAAUAAGCACCGGCUAACUCUGUGCCAGCAGCCGCGGUAAUACAGAGGGUGCGAGCGUUAAUCGGAUUUACUGGGCGUAAAGCGCGCGUAGGUGGUUAAUUAAGUCAAAUGUGAAAUCCCCGAGCUUAACUUGGGAAUUGCAUUCGAUACUGGUUAGCUAGAGUAUGGGAGAGGAUGGUAGAAUUCCAGGUGUAGCGGUGAAAUGCGUAGAGAUCUGGAGGAAUACCGAUGGCGAAGGCAGCCAUCUGGCCUAAUACUGACACUGAGGUGCGAAAGCAUGGGGAGCAAACAGGAUUAGAAACCCGUGUAGUCC